rnacentral:lncRNA from 1 species
AGGGGGUGAGCCUCUGCGGGCGGGGCGCGUAGCCCACCGUCCCGGAGGCUGAGGUUCCACAGAGCGCUGCGGAGGACCGUUCGGCUGCCCGGCAUCUCGGCAGUGCGGCUGCGAGGCCCGGACUCUGAGGGGACCUGAGCGGGCGCCGCGGGUGGCAGCGCGUCGCCUCCCCCCCGGGUGGGAGCGGUGGUUGGGUCCGGCUGCGGCAGGGCGUUCGCUCGGAGAUGGCGGAGCCGCCUCGACGCGGCCGGAGGCCCGGAGAGCGGGGAAGCCGGGCAGCCCCGGGACGCGGCGGAGCCCGGGGCCAGCGGGGACGCCGCCUAGUCCGCCGGGUGUGAAGCCAACAUGCAGUGGUUUAAGAGCCCCGGCUGUGGAGCUUGGCAGGCCUGACUUUGAAUCCCAGUUCUUCCACUGACUGAGCUGUGUGAUCCUGGGCAAGUUUCUAAGCUUCUCUGGACCUCAGAUUACUCGUAUGUAAAAUGGGGGUAAUAAUAGUCUCUACCUCUUACCUACCUCCCAGGGCUGAUGUGAGCAUUAAACAUAUGGGAAGCUCUUAGAAGAAUGUCUGACAAAGAGUAAGCUAUUUACUGUUUACUGUAACUAUUUACUGUUAUUCUUAACAUUAAGGGGUGAGUAUCUCACCCCAUUGAUGACUUUGUACUACUGUGUUUCCCCCCCAGGAGUUUCCUUUACCUCUUAAGAGUCACCCCUUUCCAUCACCAUUUUGAUCCUCUCCCAGCUUGCUUUUCACAUCAAUUAAUUUGGCCCAGGCCAAAGCUGAACUGUUUUUAAAUUGUCUCUCUCAAUUCUGAGGAACCGUGUCUCUGCCUAAUCACCCCUGAGAUGUGUAUGUCUGGGAGGGGGUAGUAGAGAAGGAUUGCCAGCCACUGCCCUUACUAGGAAUGGCUAAGCUGGAGAGAGCAACGAUACAGCUUCUAGAAGCAGUCUGUCUAUUGAAGAAAACAGUCUUCAAAAUUAGGUCUCCCUGAAACUGUUUUCUGAUCACAUUGUCCUUACCCGUCUCUUAUUGGUUGGAUAUGACUUAAGCUCCUGUUGCUCUCAUCCAGCCCCACACAGUUUGCUCUGUUUUUUUGUAACGGGAUUCAGUCCCUCAUAUCUCCACAGGGCUGGCUCAGAACCUUUCUGAACUGUUCCGUGAUGGGAUAUAACUCACCAAGGCUGAGUUAGGAAGGAAAACUGAGGUGAUAGGGAGAGGGACUCUGACUUAGAGCUUAUCUUAGACCCCAGUGAUGUGGCCUGCCCUGGGGGUACAUUUUUAUCACCUCUCCCACACUGGUGCAGGUGAGGUGAAGGGCAGGAGAUGAGUAUUUUUCGAAAGCCAUGGAAAAUAGAGUUCCCAGGUUCUGGGUUUGGAAGCGAAUAGAAUAAUUAGCUAGCAGCAUUUCUCUGGCCUC